rnacentral:misc_RNA from 1 species
UACGAAGGGGGCUAGCGUUGUUCGGAAUUACUGGGCGUAAAGCGCACGUAGGCUGACUUUUAAGUCAGGGGUGAAAUCCCGGGGCUCAACCUCGGAACUGCCUUUGAUACUGGAAGUCUUGAGUCCGAGAGAGGUGAGUGGAACUCCGAGUGUAGAGGUGAAAUUCGUAGAUAUUCGGAGGAACACCAGUGGCGAAGGCGGCUCACUGGCUCGAAACUGACGCUGAGGUGCGAAAGCGUGGGGAGCAAACAGG